AGCUUACUAAAAGUGGAACCUUAACUUUGUUAUUUAUUUUAAUUAAGUUAUUACCUAGGCAGUCUAGAUGAUGAAACAGAAAUAUCUUUGCAAACAGUAGGAAAUUAAGUCAUACAACAAAAUAAUUUGGAAAGACAUUGCGUUCAUGAGAUUACACUACGAUGCUCAACAGUGAUCAAGUGCAUUCAUAACCGAGAAUUGCGGCGAUCCGGAUCAUAUUACAUCCUGCAGGAGAGCACCCUGAUCACCAGUUAUGUACAACUCUCCGGGUCGUACAUAACGACUUUUCGAUUAGCAAAAUCAAUGAUUGGGAAUAAGACUACCCGGACCUAGGGACGCACCCCCACAUGGGACCCCACGUCUGGCCCGAUCACCAUGUGAGUUUCAGGCUACGCCCCUACCAAUCUCCAG
rnacentral:lncRNA from 1 species